CAGACGACUUAAAUAAAGAACGGGGUAUUGUACGUUGUAGAGUAGCCUUGUUGCUACGAUCUUCUGAGAUUAAGCCUUUGUUCUACGAUUUGU
rnacentral:ncRNA from 1 species